UUGGCAGUGGCCGUGAGAGAUUCGGAGUUCCCCGGGCUGAGGGGACGCUGCAAGACAUCCAGCAAAGCCUUCCCGUCCUGACUGACCUGGGGAGGGAGGCGAAAAAAAUCAGGGGAAGGAUGGAGAAAGCAAUGAUGGUUUAGAUCAUCAUACAACAGAGACUUACCAUGGAAUUCAUGGCGAAGUGGUUGUGCUGGGUCUGCAGGUCGAGGGCGUGCUGGUAGCUCAUUCCGAUCUCCGUGUGACCCUGCAGGAAAACCUCCUUGUUGUAGACGGAGGCAGGACCCCGAAAUGAUAAGAGGAAGACCCAGAAAAUGAGAUUAUAUCAGAACCAGGACAAGGCAACCAGAAGCAAAGGCAAUAAAAAUCCAUGAGGAGUCAAGGUGUCUACAGUCUAUACAUAUGUAUAUAUAUAUGUGUGAUUUAUUGGUAAAAAAGAUAAAAAGUGAUAAGAGCCGUGUGUUCUUCAAUAGGAUUCUGCCGCGGAAAUAUGCAAAAUU